CAGUCACCACAUACAAGGUUAUCCAUUUAUUCGCAUAUUCCGUAAGGGCAGUGAUGUUAGGGAUGAGCAUGGGCACCAUGAACAUGAAUCCUAUUAUGGGGACAGAGAAACUGAUACCUUGGUGAAGACAAUGGAGGAAGUAGUUGCACCAAUCGCAUUGGAGUCACCAAAUUUGGCAUUGGAGGAUAAAUGUCACACCCCCAAAAUACCACUUAGGGAAUGUC